AAUGGUUCGUGUCUGGGAUAAUGGUAUAUAUACGAGAUUGAUUUGACAGCUGUCACACGAUGGGUCAGUUAAGGCUGGCAUUACCGUGCCGUGAGAAGUGAGAAAAAGUUUCCUCAUUGUAUCAUAUACACUGUGACGUGAUUUUCGACCCACGGUCACAAGGCGACUCCAGCUACCGAUUCAGUCGAGAUGUUCAAAUCUGCCGUGGAGAGGUAGUCUCGACGUACGGAGUUGCCCUGCACAGAAGAGUACCCGACGGAGACGUCUUCACGGACCAGCAGAGGUCCAGGUCAAAUAGAACGGAGAUAGAGGUUUGAUACGGUUCAGAACAGGGGAGGGACCCCUGACCCGAGUUGUGCCGAUGCUGUAAAGAAGCGGCCAAAGUGGAAGAUCUCCACUUUUUAGAAAGUUCUCGCGUUGCCCUCGCAAUAUCCAGAAAAUGGAUUUUCCACGUGCGUUUCGAAGGUGCAGUGCUGCCCCAUAGUGCAGUGCCCACCUGAGCGACCCCUGGAUGCAGUUCUCGGCCUUCACGAAUCAACUGAACCAGCUCCGAUUCCAUACAGAAAUAAGGACAAGAAUUCCCUAGGGAGUCAACGUUGAAUUUCAAUGACAGAAGAGGAAGAUGCGAAUCCUGGCGUAACUCGCAAAUUGGCCAGUGUGUCCUGCGUCGAAUACGUCAGCGGUUGACAAGCCGCUGAGCCAAUUAUGGGCCCGUAUUGGGCCCGUAUUGUUUGCCACGAGGGCUCGUAUACGCAACGCGUAAAUCCAGCCAAGGGACUUGCCUGAAAAGUACUCGCUCUCGUUAAGGGGCAUUCAAUUUUAUCGUGCGGUUGUUACCGGGGCACUCGGUAUAGCACGCACGUUGGCUAUGGUUGGUAUAGGCAUGUACCUGACUACAUUCUGGUUUUGUAUCAGAGUCUGUUUCUUCUUCUUUUUCUUUUGCUUCCAGAAUUUCUUUUACGAGCUGUACAAUUAAAGCAAGCCCAAUGGCAGCUUUGGCCAUUGUUGAUAAUAAUUGCAUGGUUGCUUAUUAAACGUCUCGAGGUGCGCUACAGCUAUUUGUCGAGUACUCGAACUGGCACGGAUCUCGAGCGGGAACACACGUGUACAGUCAGUUGCACGCGUCGACGACACGAAGGUGUUGCCACGCUGGAUACACCAUUCAGACUGGAAGAUGGAAGAUGCAGUUCCCUCGUGUUAAACUCCUGGACCCCAUACAGCCUCUCUCUAGCCCAUCAUCAGCUGUUCCCUUACAGCUUCACAGAACGAGCUAAUAUCGACUCCAUAAUAAGACACCCGGACGUUCUCCAAUGAAAUCAGCAAUUAGACAAUGGGCUUAAAGAUGUUGAUAAUGUCAAUCAAGAGGAUGCUGUACGAUCCCAAUGAUCGGAUGACUCGAGAAUUAAUCACAGCUUGAUAACAACAACAAACGCAAUAGACACCUACGAUAUGCAGGACAUAGGGAGUCAUAUAUAUAAAUAUAUAUUGGAAGUCUAUGAAAAUGCAUCAACCUUUUCUCAUCGCGUGAGCGUGCAAUUGUAUUAGUGCAACCCCAUCAUGCAACGUGAUCCUAAUAAUUCGAAGCGCAAGAUUAUCCGGUUCUUGACGUAGAUUAAUCGAAGGGAUCGGGUCGAUGGAUACCAGCAGGUAUAAAAGAUUAUGAGAAAUUAUUAAUACGUGAAUAUAGUUCGAGUUUAUAGAGCCAAAGUGCUACUCUUUAUGACAAUCUAAAUUAUAUCUAGCAAGUACUUGACUAUAUACGUAACCAGUACCCGAUGAAUUCUAAGCACUGUCACGAUGCGGACUUUUCAUGUGGAGCAAACAAACUUCUCGUUUGUUCAAACAGUCGAACACGCCUGUGUAAAGAUGAUAUUUGCAUAACGUCAAUACAAUCGAGAUGGCCGCCAACGUCAAACUGGUUUUAAACUUUGAGAGCCUGUAUAGUUUGCGCCUGAUGACAAAGUGCUUGGCGUGCGUGCCCCGUGCCUGGCUGUGAGUAACUGUUAUCGUAUCAUCGUGAAAUACCAUUAAUGGCCUGGAGAGUGUUCGUAAUAUAAAUAUCAGAUCAUUAAGCUACCAAUUUAGAACGAUCUAGUGUGUAUAGUGCAUAGGGAAAAUGGACCUACGAAAUUCACUAGCCACAUGUGAAUAUACUGAUGGUUAGUCUGUGGUGUUAAAGGAUUAACGAAGAUUAAUCUAGCGACGGAUGCUGCUUCUUGUACUCUUAUCGGAUGAAAUCGCUCGUCCUUUUUGCCAAGUCAAACUUUCGUGGAAUUACUAUGCACUCGGUGCAACGAUGCUGCAUCGAAGGUGCAUUCAAGAAGUCCUUAAUGGAACAGGUUCCCUGGUCCAUGAGCUCAUAGCUCUGGUGUGCGACCUAUCUCAACAUCCUCAGGAUCUAUCGAUGACGAAACGUGUUGGGAUUAUAUACUUGAUCUUGAUGAUCUUUUAUUUUAAGCCAAGUAUAAUGUCCAAGAUCUUUGUAAGAGAUGCAUUGGAAAACUGUAUUUCGUAACGGGACGUUAAGAAUGGGUAUUUAUCAUAUAUCUAUAAAUUGUUUAGGGUGUUAAAUUUUUUCAUUCUUAAUUACAAAACUCUCACUACUUGGGUAUGGGUGAUGUUGGAGAUAAGUAAGUUGAGGGAUGAAGCGCGAAUAUUUGCUUGGGAAUCGUUUAAACAAAUAUGUACCGAUACGGAUGGGUAUAUGCUGAGGAAUUUGUAAUCCUAUGAAAAUAAGAAUCCAGCCCUCCCUCGGCGAUGAGUGCAAGCACUUUAAGCCAUUUCUAGAAAUGCAUAAAUGUGUGUAGUUCACUUGUGAAUUGACUUGGAAAAUUCGAGAUGUUCACUAGAGUCAAAUUAUUCUUAGCGAAAAUCCAUUAAUCGAUCCCAGUCACAUAAGCCUUCUGGCAUCUGCUUACUGCUUGGUUACUUUAUUGGGCCGUAUAAUCUCCGUUGCGGUAGCCAAAAAAGAAGCCGUCACUUCCAAGGCCCGAUUGUGCCCAUCCUGAAAGAUUAGGCGGUGCCUUUUAAGGACCCAAAAUAACCACUCGAAAAACGUACGAUAACGUCACUUUGUGUAGGAUGUGUUUUGACGUGAGCCAGAGUACCGAUCCUUGUAGAAAAUUUGUCUGCUGUACAAGGACUCGUACGAGAUCCUUAAAAUCUUUUUUUUUUCAAAAAAAAAAAUAUAAUAAAUAAACACACCAAGGAAUUCCACUUAAAUCGCAAUUCCUUGUGACUUCUUUCACCUCACGUUUCACCGAGAGUCCCCGUACGGACUGCAAAGAUUUUCUUUUUCCCGUCUGACUAAAUAAAAUACGCCGUGAACACGAAAGAGAUGUUUCGAUGUUUAAGUCAGUUAAACAGUCACUUUAAAUAAUGCUAAGUUAACUCGAGAAAUAUUUCAUUUAGGCUCACAUCCGGCUACGGCCAUUGACUGAAGUUCAAUUAUUUUUUGAGAGUUAAGAAAUACUUGUUAAAAGGAUAUAGCAUUGAACUUUACAAAAAAGGUACGAAAAUUCAGUCUUAUCAACACAGCUGAUACCAAAAAUAAAAAUCAAGUCGAUAAAAUUCGAACAACGCCUGGACUGCCAUCCAUCGAUCAAAUAUCCUUUUCCGUUAUUUUAAUUCCAACUCCAUCUCGCAGUAAUGCCUCUUUCUUAUGCUACUAUACAUAUGUGACAUAUACUUCCCCACAUAUCCCCAUAUACAUACCUUGUGCAAACAUCUCAGAAAUCAACUAUCCAAAAUGCCCAUGGCCUCGUCAGCAUGCAUAAAUACAUCCUUACAGAUAGGACCAGUUAAAGGAGUUUAGCAUUGAAAUUGUUUCAUUUACAUGCGGCAGAUUUAUCACAGAGAUCUUGAACCUGGAACGCAGGAGUCCCGUACGCCUCGCCCUUCGUCCUUAAGAUACGCCCUUACGACAAUGGAUCCUUUGAAAAAAAUUUGUUAUGCAUACUCGUUCCACUAUAUCAUAGCUUAUAUAUACAUAACCUGGUCAUUCGAAGACUCGGUACGAUUACUGACUUCUCUACUGUUCCCUUCUUUUACUUUAUUUCUCGCAUUUCUCUUCUCAGCUUCAUCCUGUCCCUGUAAGCCUUUACUCAUCCUCAUACGAGUGUCCUAUAUAUAUAUAUUUUUUAUUUUUCUUCUCCUAUAUCUCACUCCUGCACCCUCGUCGUACUUCUCGUAUCGGUGUAUCCAUUUUUUUACCCCUCACUUCUCCGCGAUCCUCGUUCGCACGAGUUUCUUUUUACGAGGCGCCAACGAUCGCCGAUUUGUAGUUUGUAAGUCGUUCAUUAACGUCAAUGGAUAACACAUAUGUCUUCGGACGGGAGACGUGUUCGAAUAAAUUGGCGGGAUACGUGUACGUUAAUGGUGGCGAACUGAGGGAUAUCUUAAAGGAAAAAAAAGUCACUGUAUAACCGAGGAUCGUUGGAAAUAAAUUAUUUCAUGUUAAUAAAUAAUUAAUACGGAUUCGAUGAGUUUUAUGUUUGAUCGAGUAGAGCAAGUCUGCUAAAAAGAAAUGACACCGGUAUUGAGUUAAUGGUGUUUAUACUGUGUAUGCAAUGUUGAAUUCAGGAGGUUUCAUUACGCUGGUACCAUUCACACUGGUACGUUAGCAGCAUCCGAAUGAAGUAAUUAGACCGUAAUAUAAAAUAGCCGGUGUGAUCAAUUUAUGGAUUUAUUACAGUUUUAUUAUAGGGUUAUACGUGUAUUUCUUUGUAACACUUGAGUCUCUUUAGUUUUAUUGAAAUUCCACGAGUUAUGACUCUCCAGGCUGAUUCCUCAUG